GUAAAGGUCUGGCUUCUGCUGGCAAGGUAUUUAGUGGCAGUGUCUAUAAACAAAGCAGUAGCGGGAGUAUACAGCUAGCAAGGCAGAAGGAUUACGAUGAGAUUCCUGCAAACUAGAAUUUUCUGUUUUGAAGAUGUGCCCAGUUUGGAGGAAGACUCUGGGACGGCCCCAUCUCUGAAGGAUGAAGGCUUGCAGAGCGGCUCACUCCAGCGCUUUGCACAGCUGAUGAAAAGGGGGAAAUUCCAGCAGUUCUACGGCCUGAUGGGAAAACGGGCUAGUGGGGUGCCACAUACUUCACCAGAGGAGCAUAAGAGGCACCAGGGAGAGACGUUCAUAGGACUCAUGGGACGAAGAUCCUCCAGUGGAGGUGGGUGAGCUCCCAUGCCUGACGCUCCUUAGAUCAGUCUCUCUCCCCUGUCAGCUAUUCUGACAGGGAGCUCUCAGCUCAUUAUUCACCUGUCCUCCUCCUCCACCCACUUAUUUAUAGGAAUCCUCUAUAGCUGCUGGAGUUUUCAAGAACUUUGCUUGAUGCAGACAGACCCUCACUGGUUCAAGUCUCUCUGGUGGCAUUUGUG
rnacentral:lncRNA from 1 species